rnacentral:rRNA from 1 species
GGAGGGUGCAAGCGUUGUUCGGAAUCAUUGGGCUUAAAGAGCUCGUAGGCGGAUAGUUAAGCAUCUUGUGAAAUCCCUCGGCUUAACCGAGGAACUGCUCGAUGAACUGGCUAUCUUGAGGCAAGUAGAAGUACGUGGAACUCCAGGUGGAGCGGUGAAAUGCGUAGAUAUCUGGAGGAACGCCAGUGGUGAAAACGGCGUACCGGGCUUGUUCUGACGCUGAGGAGCGAAAGCGUGGGUAGCGAACGGGGGAUUAGAUACCCCGGUAGUCCACGCCGUAAACGAUGUCUACUAGGCUGUGGGCGGUCUGACCUUUCCGCAGCCGUAGCAAAAGUAUUAAGUAGACCGCCUGGGGGAGUACGGUCGCAAGGCUA